GACGAACCGAGCGAACGUUGUUCGGAAUCACUGGGCUUAAAGGGCGCGUAGGCGGCCUGGUCAGUCAGGGGUGAAAUCUUUCGGCUCAACCGGAAAAGUGCCUUUGAUACUACCAGGCUUGAGGGAGAUAGGGGCGUGUGGAACUUCCAGUGGAGCGGUGAAAUGCGUUGAUAUUGGAAGGAACGCCGGUGGCGAAAGCGACACGCUGGGUCUCUUCUGACGCUGAGGCGCGAAAGCUAGGGGAGCGAACGGG
rnacentral:rRNA from 1 species